GCUGGGAUGGCCGAGUCGUUAAGGCGAGUGAUUUGAAUUGCUCACUAUCACUUGGUGUUUCACCGCGUAGGUUCAAAUCCUGCUUCCAGCG